UACGUAGGGUGCAAGCGUUAAUCGGAAUUACUGGGCGCAAAGCGUGCGCAGGCGGUGAUGUAAGACAGUUGUGAAAUCCCCGGGCUCAACCUGGGAACUGCAUCUGUGACUGCAUCGCUGGAGUGCGGCAGAGGGGGAUGGAAUUCCGCGUGUAGCAGUGAAAUGCGUAGAUAUGCGGAGGAACACCGAUGGCGAAGGCAAUCCCCUGGGCCUGCACUGACGCUCAUGCACGAAAGCGUGGGGAGCAAACAGG
rnacentral:rRNA from 1 species